rnacentral:rRNA from 1 species
AGGACGAACGCUGGCGGCGUGCUUAACACAUGCAAGUCGAGCGGUAAGGCCUUUCGGGGUACACGAGCGGCGAACGGGUGAGUAACACGUGGGUGAUCUGCCCUGCACUUCGGGAUAAGCCUGGGAAACUGGGUCUAAUACCGGAUAUGACCUCCUAUCGCAUGGUGGGUGGUGGAAAGAUUUAUCGGUGCAGGAUGGGCCCGCGGCCUAUCAGCUUGUUGGUGGGGUAAUGGCCUACCAAGGCGACGACGGGUAGCCGACCUGAGAGGGUGACCGGCCACACUGGGACUGAGACACGGCCCAGACUCCUACGGGAGGCAGCAGUGGGGAAUAUUGCACAAUGGGCGAAAGCCUGAUGCAGCGACGCCGCGUGAGGAUGACGCCUCGGUUGUAACCUCUUCAGCAGGACGAAGACGCAAGUGACGUACCGUGACGAGAAGAAAGACGACCGGACUAACCUACGUCGCCACGCACGCCGACGGUAAUCGUAGAGGCGGCGUCGGCGAA